rnacentral:ncRNA from 1 species
GAGAAGUUUGAUUCUUGCUUAGUACUUUUAUGUUACAGCUAGAAUAUAUAUGUAAAUUAUUGUGAGAGGUUUUAAUAUUUAUUAAAUAUAAUUAAGUUAAAGGUUGGAGGGUUAACCUAAGAAUACUCAGGUCGCAGUAUAAAGUUUUGAACUAUAAGUGAAAGCUUGAUUUGGUAGUUGUAAGAAAUCUGACUAAAUUUUGUGCCAGCAGUUGCGGUUAUACCUUAAGGUUAAGUAAAAGUAAAUUAGUUGGGUAGUUAAUUAAAAUUUAUUAAAUUAACUAAAUUUGUUUCAAUAAAAGGUAAAAUUAGGGUGUUAAUUGAUAAAUUGAUUUAAAUAAUAAAGAAAAUGAAGCUAUGUUAAUCAAGGUGUGAACUAGGAUUAGAUACCCUAUUACUCUUGGAAGAAAAAAUAAAUAAGAGCUUGAAUAUUAAUAGAUAUGUUCUUUAAAAUCAAAGAAUUUGGCGGUAUUUUAGUCUUGUUAGAGGAACCUGUUCUGUAAUCGAUAAAACACGUAAUAUUUUAUUUGCUUUUGUUAAUUCAGUUUGUAUACCGUCAUUAUUAAAUAAUUUUGAAAAAGUUAAUUAUUGGGGUUAGAAGUUUAAGCUAAGUAUAUUAGAUCAAGGUGCAGCUUAUGGGCAAGUAGAAAUGGGUUACAAUAAAAUAUAUUUAAACGAAUUGUAGGUAGAAUUACUUAUAAAGAAGGUGGAUGUAAUUGUAAAAAUAAUUUAAUAAGUUAUUUUGAUAUAAGCUCUAAAUUAUGUACAUAUCGCCCGUCGCUUUCAUUUAAAAUGAAAUAAGUCGUAACAUAGUAGGUGUACUGGAAAGUGUACCUAGAAAUAU